AAAUGGUGAAGAGUGUAAAGCGUUGCCUGACCUCACCGGCUGGUCCUGCAGCUCUGGGAACAAAAUCAAAACUACCAAGCCCACGCGGUAAAGCAACGCUUCUGUGGACAUGUGAUGACAACUCAUAAUUUCACACGAGCAUAUUUUAAAAUCAGACCUGCAAAUGUCAACAAAAAUGCAUGCUCGAGCAGAAACAUGUGAACCGUGAGCUAAGACUGUGAGAAGAGUUUAAAUGAUGCAAGGCACUGGCUUCACGAAACCUAAAUAUCUCUAGUUCAAAUAAAUUCUGUUAUUUUUAACUUUUUUCAUCAAGAAUCCUGAGAAAUAUCAUUAUUUCCAUAAAAAAUAUUAAGCAGCAACUAUUUUUAACAUUGAAAAUAAUAAUAAAUGUUUCUUGAGCAGCAAAUCAUCAUAUCAGAAGGAUUUCUGAAGGAUCAUGUGACUCUGAAGACUGGAGUCAUGAUGCUGAAAAUUCAGCUUUGCAUCACAGGAACAAAUUACAUUUAACAUAUAUUCAGAUAGAAAAUGUUUAUUAUAAAUUAUAAUAAUAGUUCACAAUGAUACUGUUUUUACAGUUUUAUUUUUUGUUUAUACAGUUUUAUUUUUGGGUGAGCAUAGACAGUAGUAUAUUUUCCAAAAUAUCUGUGCUUCACAGGAGAAAGAAAAGUCAUACAGGUGUUGAAGGACACAAGGAGAGAGAAAUUGUUGAUUUUAUAUGCCUUUAAAUAUUUUGUGAAAUCACAGGUAUGUUUUUUUCUCUCUCUCCAUCUUGAUGAAACCAUGUUGCACUAACACGAAAAUCCGUUGUUCCCCAAAUUGUAACCAAGUUAACUCUGAUGUUGUUUUUGCACCAGCAAAACUUUUUCUGGAUGUCUGAUUUAGACAAAUAUUAAGAUAAAGCCCUUACCAACACACACAAACACACACACACUGCAUUUCUCUUCAUUUUCAUCUGACUGACACACCACCUGCAAGUGGAGGCAAGUAAACAUGGAAUUUUGGAGCAAAACAAGCCCUGUUUGAUAUGGAAAUAGAACAGAGGAGUGUGAGAGAGUGUGUGUGUUUAUCUGGAUGUGUGAAAAAGACAGAUGGAGAAUCAGACUAUGCUGGAGCCCAUGUGCUCCUGAGUUGUAGGUCAUUAUCAUAUUAGAGUUUAUUAGAAUUUUUAUGGCUUUUUUUCUGGGUUUCAGUCAGCUUCAAAUUAUGACUGUAAAAACAGUGAAAUCAUUUAUUAGUUUGGUUACGCAAACACAUGUUGGAGAUCACUGCAGGUUCCAGUCACCGCUGACUGUUUUGAAUGAUUUAUCAUGGGGCUCAUUAAAACGCAUGACAAUUCACUGAAUUAAUUUGGUGGUUCCAAAUGUAAAACUCUGGGAUUUUUUUGAAGUGUUAAUGAAUAAACAUUCAUUAUUGA